AUGAAGUUUUGUUCUCAUCCAAGUGCUAUUGGAGACGAGCCGGUGGCAGGCAACCGCGGGUGGCUUCCUCCGUUGUUCCUUGUUCGAUCUGGCGCUUGCAAGGUUGAUCUUCUGAUUUCAUUUUGCUCAGAUAUGGGCUUGGGCUCGGUCAUUUUAUUUGGUCAUGAUGAUGGCGGCUUGCUGGCCCUGAGGACUGCAGAAAAGUUACGCGCUUCUGGAGAUUCUAGGAAGUGGAUCAUCUUUUUGCUAUGCCCUCCUGUUAAAUGUUGUCAUUGUACUGUGCUCUCCUUGUCAAAUAGAUACUUAAUACGGAAAUCAAUAGUUUUUUUUCAAACGAUGAACAAUUUUUGUUGCCCGCCGUCUGGCGGGCAACGUGCGGCAAGCCGCGCCCCCUAUCUACCGGCCAAAGAUUUGGGCCAGCCUCGCACGCGUGGUUUGAUGCGUCCAGAUCGGAUGCUCACGUUUUCCUCCUCAACCGCACUCGCACGCAUCCACGUGCUGGAGGGUCCACCACCGCUUGGGAUGCAACUUUAUCCCUUCGCCUGCGUCGCCUACUCCAUUCUCCACCACUCGUUUUUCUUUUUUCCACAACAACCUCCGACCCCUGCUGCCGCACUACGGCGACCAACACAGGGAGGCGUUGCAACCAGAACAUGCCCUCACCGACGACUUUAUUUUUUGCUGAAACCGUUCGACGAUGACGGUGAGGCAAGAAUUGUUGCAACCAAUGUGCCCGCGAGCUGGAACCGGCAGGCGUCAAAAGCUACAUCCACGGUGACCAUGCCCUGGGAUCCACCGGCAGUCGUGUUACAGCCCCAACGGAGGGGGCGGGCCCUCACCGGUGCUCGUUGGCCAUGGCCACGGCCAGGACGACGACAUAAUUUACUUGCGGUGCGUGUAUUAGUUAGCCUGUCAAUUCCCUGCGCUUUUGUUUUCUCUUCUUCCUGCCGUGACCUCGUCAAGGUUCCGGCCAAGAUGCACGAGGCGGCAGACAGACCAGAGACCUUGUCAGUCGAGCAGAGCGUUCGCACAUUCGCACGCGCGUGA
rnacentral:rRNA from 1 species